rnacentral:tRNA from 1 species
GGGUCGAUAGCUCAACGGUUAGAGCAGUGGCCUUUUAAGCCAUUGGUUCAGGGUUCGAAUCCCUGUCGGCCUACCA